rnacentral:rRNA from 1 species
CAGUAGCCGCGGGAAUACAGAGGGUGCAAGCGUUAAUCGGAAUUACUGGGCGUAAAGCGCGCGUAGGUGGUUUGUUAAGUUGGAUGUGAAAGCCCCGGGCUCAACCUGGGAACUGCAUCCAAAACUGGCAAGCUAGAGUACGGUAGAGGGUGGUGGAAUUUCCUGUGUAGCGGUGAAAUGCGUAGAUAUAGGAAGGAACACCAGUGGCGAAGGCGACCACCUGGACUGAUACUGACACUGAGGUGCGAAAGCGUGGGGAGCAAACAGGAUUAGAUACCCCCGUAGUCCCUGUCUCUUAUAA